UUGGCAGUGGGGCUCUAUAAUGCAGUCGAGCGAACUGAUUAGAAGCUUGCUUCUAUGACGUUAGCGGCGGACGGGUGAGUAACACGUGGGCAACCUGCCUGUAAGACUGGGAUAACUCCGGGAAACCGGAGCUAAUACCGGAUAACAUUUUCUCUUGCAUAAGACAAAAUUGAAAGAUGGUUUCGGCUAUCACUUACAGAUGGGCCCGCGGUGCAUUAGCUAGUUGGUGAGGUAACGGCUCACCAAGGCAACGAUGCAUAGCCGACCUGAGAGGGUGAUCGGCCACACUGGGACUGAGACACGGCCCAGACUCCUACGGGAGGCAGCAGUAGGGAAUCUUCCGCAAUGGACGAAAGUCUGACGGAGCAACGCCGCGUGAGUGAUGAAGGCUUUCGGGUCGUAAAACUCUGUUGUUAGGGAAGAACAAGUACAAGAGUAACUGCUUGUACCUUGACGGUACCUAACCAGAAAGCCACGGCUAACUACGUGCCAGCAGCCGCGGUAAUACGUAGGUGGCAAGCGUUAUCCGGAAUUAUUGGGCGUAAAGCGCGCGCAGGCGGUUUCUUAAGUCUGAUGUGAAAGCCCACGGCUCAACCGUGGAGGGUCAUUGGAAACUGGGGAACUUGAGUGCAGAAGAGAAAAGCGGAAUUCCACGUGUAGCGGUGAAAUGCGUAGAGAUGUGGAGGAACACCAGUGGCGAAGGCGGCUUUUUGGUCUGUAACUGACGCUGAGGCGCGAAAGCGUGGGGAGCAAACAGGAUUAGAUACCCUGGUAGUCCACGCCGUAAACGAUGAGUGCUAAGUGUUAGAGGGUUUCCGCCCUUUAGUGCUGCAGCUAACGCAUUAAGCACUCCGCCUGGGGAGUACCGUCCCAAGACUGAAACUCACAGGAAUUGACGGGGGCCCGCACAAGCGGUGGAGCAUGUGGGUUUAAUUCCAAGCAACGCGGAAAAACCUUACCCGGUCUUGACAUCCUCUGACAACUCUAGAGAUAGAGCGUUCCCCUUCGGGGGACAGAGUGACAGGUGGUGCAUGGUUGUCGUCAGCUCGUGUCGGGAAAUGUUGGGUUAAGUCCCGCAACGAGCGCAACCCUUGAUCUUAGUUGCCAGCAUUUAGUUGGGCACUCUAAGGUGACUGCCGGUGACAAACCGGGAGAAGGGGGGGAUGACGUCAAAUCCUCAUGCCCCUUAUGACCGGGCCUACCACGUGCUAAAAUGGAAGGUACAAAGGGCUGCAAAACCGGAGGUUCAGCCAUUCCUUAAAACCAUUUCCAGUCGGAAUGGAGGGUGCACCCCCCCAAUAGAAUCUGGAUCCCUUAAAUUCGGGAUACUAUUGCCGGGGAAAACUUUCCCGGGCUUGAAACCCGCCGGAUGAACCCCAGGGUUGCAACCCCUAAAUUUCGGGGGAACCUUUUAGGCCCCCCCUUAGGGGGCCAAUUGGUGGCGGGGUUUUAAGGGAAGAAACAAAAGGGAAUUUCUGUUGGCUUGUUUU
rnacentral:rRNA from 2 species